rnacentral:rRNA from 1 species
ACUCCUACGGGAGGCAGCAGUGGGGAAUAUUGCACAAUGGGCGCAAGCCUGAUGCAGCCAUGCCGCGUGUAUGAAGAAGGCCUUCGGGUUGUAAAGUACUUUCAGCAGUGAGGAAGGUGGGUAUGUUAAUAGCAUACUCAUUUGACGUUAGCUGCAGAAGAAGCACCGGCUAACUCCGUGCCAGCAGCCGCGGUAAUACGGAGGGGUGCGAGCGUUAAUCGGAAUUACUGGGCGUAAAGCGCAUGCAGGUGGUUUGUUAAGUCAGAUGUGAAAGCCCGGGGCUCAACCUCGGAAUUGCAUUUGAAACUGGCAAACUAGAGUACUGUAGAGGGGGUAGAAUUUCAGGUGUAGCGGUGAAAUGCGUAGAGAUCUGAAGGAAUACCAAGUGGCGAAGGCGACCACCUGGACUGAUACUGACACUGAGGUGCGAAGCGUGGGGAGCAAACAGGAUUAGAUACCCGU